CUCCUUAGCAACAGGUGCCUCCGUUGCGAUGCAUGGUAUGUUUAUGGAAUUGCAUCGUCUGGAUGAACAGGUGAAAUGGCGAAAGGGGAUAAAAAGAAAAAACCCGAGAAAACGACUCCCGAACAAUCAUUAAGUACAUUUUUGUCAAAUGGCUCCCACGCUGGUGUUGUAUCAGAACCACAUGUGUUAGAUGAAGAGUCGGGACAUGAAACAGAUGUAAUGACUGCCUCCUUUUCUUCACUACCACCACCCGCCGACAAACAACUUGAGAGAAGUGAUGAUGCAUUUCAUGAGGUCCCUGUUCUUCCUAAUAUUAUUGUCCAGAGGUACGAGGGUGAAAAGCAUCUAGAGCAGUUUCAUGGAGAAGGUGUGGCAUAUUUUCAGGGAGGACAUGUCUACAAGGGUAUGUUUUCAGUAGGAGUCAUGCAUGGACAUGGUCUGUACACAUGGGCAGAUGGCGUGAAAUAUGAGGGUGAGUUUGCAUUCAAUGUGCCCAUGGGCCAUGGGACAUACACCUGGUUGGAUGGUAGCUGUUAUGAGGGAGAGGUGUGCAGUGGAAUCCGCCAUGGUGUGGGGACAUAUAGGUGUGCCAAUUCCUCUGUGAUAUACAGAGGGCAGUGGCAUCACAGCAAAAGGCAUGGAAAGGGUACAAUAUACUAUAACCAGGAAGCGACGUCCUGGUAUGAAGGAGAAUUGGUAAACAAUAACAGAGAGGGAUGGGGAGUCCGAUGUUACCCCUCUGGAAACCUGUAUGAGGGCCAGUGGAGGAACAACGUGAGACAUGGAGAGGGCAGGAUGAGGUGGCUGCAGCUGGGUCAGCAGUAUAGCGGGAUAUGGGAGAAUGGGGUCCAGCAUGGACAAGGGACCCACACAUGGUUCCUGAGGAGAGUGACAGGCUCUCAGUAUCCCCUAAGGAAUGAGUACACUGGGGACUUUGUCCAGGGGCUGAGGCAUGGCCAGGGCAGCUUCUACUACGCAAGCGGGGCUCUUUACAAAGGAGAGUGGAAGGACAACAGAAAACAUGGACAGGGAAAGUUCAUUUUUAAAAAUGGACGCAUAUUUGAAGGGGAGUUUGUGGAUGACCACAUGGCAGAGUUCCCAGCGUUCUGCCUGGAUGGUUCAAACACCCCUGAUCUGAGUGGGAUUAGAACGCACACUCCCCAUCCUGAGGACGGUGAAUCCCCCAGAAGAGCACCAGGAGGAGACUCGGGCAGUGGUCCAGCCCUGCUUGGGCCUGACAUGGCUCUGGACAUCACUGCUCUGCUGGAGAACCUCCCAGAGAACCAGAGAGACCUGCAGCUCAAACAGGUGGAAUUUGUGGUGCUGAGACACAUAGCGGAGCUGAGGGCCAUCUAUAGCUUCUACAGCAGUCUGGGCCAUGAUCAGUCCCCAGACAAUACCUUCUUGCUGUCCCGCCUGCAGCUUUGGAGACUCCUCAAGGACUGCAGCAUCCACCAGCAAGGCAUCACCCUGGCCCAGGUCGACCGCUACAUCUGUGCUAAUUUCAAAGCAGAGGAUGUCCCUUCCGAGGAGAUCCACUCUCCCUUCAGCACCAUGCUGCUCAGAAGGUUCCUCAGCUGUGUUGUGGUUCUGGCCUACAACACCUACCAUAAGGACAUAGAGCCCUCUGAUACCAUACUGGUUGCAUGUUUGUCCAAGCUGAUGAGGGAGAACAUCAUCCCUAAUGCCAAGAAUGUAAAAGGUACAGGGCUGUUGUUUCCCAACCCCAUGCAUGCUGUGAUUGCUGUCAACUACAUUGGGAGGUGCUGGGGGAUCUACAAGGCCUUCUGCAGAGCCAACCCAACCCCCCUAGCUGACCAAACCAUGACUGUCAGGCACUUCAUAUGGAUGUUUAAGGACCUUAGUCUGUUUGAUGCUGAGCUGACCACAGGGAAACUCCUAGAGAUCCUCUCUGUAGAGAACCCAGCUGCUUACGACCGCUACUACUGCAACCUAGACCUAGAGAUGACGUUCCUGGAGUUCUUUGAGGCGUUGCUGGGCUGUGCAGAGGUUAGCGAUCAGAGGGAUGGUCAGACAUCCUCAGACAGCCAGAUGGAAAGCUGCCCUCUGGCUGACACCAGGAGGGUUUCCCCUGGGGAGAGGACCAGAGACAGCCCUCUACAGAGGUCCUCACAGCGGCAUUCCCCUCUGACUGGACCUACUGCAAAGUCAUCAAACCCCAACAUCUCUCCUGAUGUGGGUAGUGUCAAAUCACUGGAGGAGAUUCUCCAGCUGUCUACACCUGAAGAGAUGGAGCCCAGACAGAGUCCCAACGCAGCAGGCAACCUCACAUCACAGACUGGGGGUGGUGGGUCAGCAACCCACUCGUCAGACACUGAGAGGAGAGAGGGCUCAGGUGGCGCUAGAUCAGCAGUGGAGGCCAAAGUGUCAAACCACCCUCCCCAUGAUCAUCCCCCCAGCACAGUUAGGGGCGUGGAUCAGAAAACCAGUCAGUAUCUAGUGUGACCAUUUGCCUCAUGCAGCAUGACGCAUCUCCUUCACAUAGAGUUGAUCAGGCUGUUGAUUGUGGCCUGUGGAAUUUUGUCCUCUUCAAUGGUUGUGGGAAGUUGCUGGAUAUUGGCAGGAACUGGAACACGCUGUAGUACACGUUGAUCCAGAGAAUCCCAAACGGGCUCAAUGGGUGACAUGUCUGCUUAUGCCUGCCCAUACCAUAACCCCACCGCCACCAUGGGGCACUCUGUUCACAACAUUGACAUCAGCAAACUGCUCGCCACACGACGCCGUCUGCGAUCUACCCGGUACAGUUCAAACCGGAAGUCAUGAAGAAUGCAACUUCUCUAGCGUGGCAAUGGCCAUCGAAGAGCCCGUUGAAGACAGGAGUGGAGCAGGUAUGACUUCCUGCCCUGCUGAGACUGAACUGGACAGCUGGGUCCAGAGGACCCACCAGUUCUUUACCCAGAGGUUCUUCCCAGCGUACGAAUACAGCCUGGAGCUGAGGAGGGAGGU